UAACGCGAAGAACCUUACCAGGUCUUGACAUACCAUGAAAAGCUUAGAGAUAAGUCUUUCCCUUCGGGGACAUGGAUACAGGUGGUGCAUGGUUGUCGUCAGCUCGUGUCGUGAGAUGUUGGGUUAAGUCCCGCAACGAGCGCAACCCUUAUUAUCAGUUGCCAGCAUUCAGUUGGGCACUCUGGUGAGACUGCCGGUGACAAACCGGAGGAAGGUGGGGACGACGUCAAAUCAUCAUGCCCCUUAUGACCUGGGCUACACACGUGCUACAAUGGUCGGUACAACGUGUUGCGAACUCGCGAGGGCAAGCAAAUCACUUAAAACCGAUCUCAGUUCGGAUUGCAGGCUGCAACUCGCCUGCAUGAAGCUGGAAUCGCUAGUAAUCGCGGAUCAGCAUGCCGCGGUGAAUACGUUCCCGGGUCUUGUACACACCGA
rnacentral:rRNA from 1 species